rnacentral:rRNA from 1 species
UACGUAGGGUGCGAGCGUUAAUCGGAAUUACUGGGCGUAAAGCGUGCGCAGGCGGUGAUGUAAGACCGAUGUGAAAUCCCCGGGCUUAACCUGGGAACUGCAUUGGUGACUGCAUUGCUCGAGUAUGGCAGAGGGGGGUGGAAUUCCACGUGUAGCAGUGAAAUGCGUAGAUAUGCGGAGGAACACCGAUGGCGAAGGCAAUCCCCUGGACCUGUACUGACGCUCAUGCACGAAAGCGUGGGGAGCAAACAGG